CCAGGAUUUGAACCAACAAAACACUGGGCCGCCUGCAGCGGAGCGCGCAAACUUAACCACUCGGCCACAGGGCCAGCCCCAAGGCAUAAACAUUUUUAAGGCUACUGAUAUAUCUAUUGCCACGUUCUUUCCAAAAACGUUGUACCAAUUACUGCUAAAAGCCACGAGUAAACAUAAACUGAGUAUUAUUUCAAAAACUCUUGUUAGUUUGAAAGGUGGAAAGGACCUCUUGCUGUCGAGGCUUUGCCCCUGGAUCUCAUUUAUUUUUCCGAAGGACCCUGUGAAGGAGGCCUGGUUCCUUAUAAUGUUAUUAAUCCUGCUGAGAUUUUGGUGCCCUCUUAUAUUUUGCCCUUGAGGUGAGUGCCUCACUUGCCUCACCCUAGACCCAGCUCUGACUCGCUCCACUUUGCAAAUGAGGAAAUCAAGGAUGACAAAUGAGGUAUCUUGAUUAGGGUCACACAGCCAGGAAGUCUCAGUGAUGACAUUCAGAUCCGGGCAUGUGUUGACUCUAAAACCCUGUUUCUUUCUACUGUAACUGGUGCUUCACUCCUGGUUUACGGAUGUGAAUGAUGAGGAGAGAGAAGAAAUCGUUCACAGAACUGAGAAAUCCUGGAGGAGACUGAGCUGGUCCUUUCCAGUGUGUAAGUGUGUGGUGGUACUUUGGUGUGGGUCACACUGAUUUGGGGGCACAGGGAAAGCAGACCUGUACACUGUGGGGUAUGUAGCAGGAAGGAGCAUGACCAGGUGUGAGAGAGGCAGGGCUCCGCAUGCGGGGCAGGAGCGGAAGUCUGGGGCACGCCUGAUCGAAAGCUCCAGCGUUUAUCAAAUCUGAGAGCAAAGGUGAGCUGGACCCGGAACAGAACUGUGACAAGGCAGAGUUCCUGGGGAUGGUCACACGUGGGUGGGUCACAAUCCGGAGCCUGCUGCCAGGUGCCCAGGAGUGCCCACUUCUGUAGCUGCAGCCAGUUAACCACGUCCAGCAAGGACAAAGCUGAUAGGGAAACACUCCUGGGAAGGCAGGGGCAGGGCUGUGAGCUCCCGACACUGACCAAAGGAGCAAGGGGUCACUGCAGGUCUGCAGGGCUGGCUUAGGUGAUGAGCACGGGCCCAGACUGCCCCUGAGCUUUAUGGACAGCCACUGGCACAGGGUGAUUUACUUGAAUUGGGCACAGGAGGUUCUGUUUGCAGGAAGCAGAACAUAAAUCCUUGGGGUGGAAAUGGGAGGAGGAGUCUUCCUGCCUCACACCUCAGUGUCCUCUGUUGUGCCAGGCUGCAUUUUCAGUCUUUAGACCACUUCCAAGGGCAGAGGACCUGGCAGUAGAGCCAUUCUACUCAUUAGUCUCUUGCUUCUUAUCUCAUUAGACUCAGACACAUCUAAUGUGAUAAGAAGGGAGCCUGAGGGGAUAACGGACAAUUCUGGCCCUGGUUGAAUAGAGAACAAGGUGAGCUUCUGAGAGUAGGGCAAACCAAGGCAGGUUAGGGGGCAUUUGAGAUGUUCGGUCAACUGAAGCCUGUAAGAGUUGAUUGAAGGUUGGCCAAGUAGCCGUGGAUGGGUCGGGUGAAUGGGAGUGACUCAGCACAGUGUGGUCUGGCAGCUGUGGGGUGGGAACAGAGCAACCAGCAGGACGGCUGGGUGCCUGGCCAAUGAGGCAACAGGACGGGGAGGGGGUGGGGAAAGAGGUGCAGAUGCUACAGAGAGCAGUGGUGAAAGGGUCAGCCAUGGGCUCCAGGUGGGGCGGGCAGGUCUGGAAAGCAGAAGGAGAGAGGGAGUAGAUAGGCAGGAGGAUGGUCAAGACAAGGGAGAACAGGGUUCAUAGGCUUGAGGGAUUGGUGGUGGAGGGAGCAAGAGGGAAGUGGUUAAGGGAGGGAAGCUCAGAGCUGCAGAUCUGGGAGAAGGAGCAGCACGCAGCGGUUUCAAACACCAAGGUCUGGCUUUGCUGGCAGUGGCUUGACUGGAGGAAAGAGAAAAGCCAGGGAGGUUGAGGGUGUGAAGAUGGAAAGAUGAUUUCCUGUCGGGUGGAAUUCUGUCCAGAGAGACGGUUGAGAGGGGAUGGUAGAACUGCUGAUUGUAAGGAGAACUUGAAGCCAGAACUUGUCUGCCCUCCCCUGCACCGGGGAGUCUGUGAAGGGGACUGGAGCCUGCUGGGCAGGACAUGUGGCCAUUCUGUCGCCUGAGGAAGGGAAAAGAACAUCAACCUUAAUUAAUAUCUGCUAUGUUUAUAUAAUUUAAUUCUCUUCAUGACUCUCCAAGGUAGGUAUUGUUGUGUAAAACACAGAUGAUGAAACCAAGGCAGAGAGAAGCAGAAUAACUUGCCCAGGUUUCACACAGUAAGUGGGGGAGGGUGGUCAGAAUUGGAAGCAGGUCCAUUGAUGUCAACGUCUGAGGCUCCACAGGUAACUGGGGCAGAGGUUAAUUCCAUUAGGAGGACUAUAAAAUCUACAGGUAAACGGUAACUAGUACUGAUGGCAGUAGGAGGUUAGUUCCGUGAUGGAGCGAUGAUGUCUGUCCCAUUCAAUCCUGGGUGCCCAGCACCUAGCCCCCUGCCUGACACAUAGUGGGCCUCAGUAAAUGCUUGUUGAAUGAAUAAGCAAGUCCACUCAGAGUAAUGAAGAAAGAGGUGCAGGGAUCCAAAUUCCUACCAAUUUCCAGGAGUCUCAGGGAGGGGAUUUAUAACUCAUCUGGAAGGGCUUUAAGGUGCCAGAUGCCUCUUUUAACCAGGGAGGUCAGAGAAUUGGAGUUGACUGAAACCACAGAGCAUGGAUGAGGGUGGGAAGGGGGCUCCAGUAGAGAUGGACUCUAUCCACACAGGCUAGAACCAUGGGUAGGAGCCUCCAGUUUCUCAGUGGGAUGUCAGCCUCACUACCUGCCCUCCACUUGCCCAACUACAGAUUUGGCCUCAGGAGACUGGAGGAAGCCAGGCUCCAGACUUUCUGCCGAGGGCCAAAUUUCUCUCUCCCCAUGGUGCCGCUGGAGAUGUCUGGGGAGGCUCGUCCAAAGCUGAGGCUGUGCUUCCUCCUCCAGGUCUUGUAAAUUCCAUCCUCCAGUCAAGAAAGCUAUCAAUUUGGACCAAAUUAGUAACCCUACAGAGAAAAUCCCUGAUGAAAAUUCCCUUCUGAGAAAGUGAUUUUAGAAAUCUGUGCUGAGAAAAACUUGGUUUCUGUUGAAGAAUGAUAUUUGAGGCAACGUAAAUCACAAUGAUAUGAGACAGUGUUGCUAGAUUCUCUGACCAUAAACGAGAACUCCUAAGCUACUCAUGUUUUCCUUUUUGCUUUGGCUUCUAGGAAAUUCACCCCCAGCAGUUAUAUUUUUCUUUAGGUUGGCAUAUUCAUAGACUCUUUUCUUCUUAGCCCUGAUUUUCUAUUUACAUCGUCUUACGUGGUUUUAAUUUCAGUUGCCUCAAUAUCUUGUAGAAGUGAAAUAAAUAAAUGCAGAAGAAUAAAAGUUAAGUGAGUGUCUUCCUCCUGUUCAUCCCUGUGGAGUCUUCUUCAAUGAAAAGGGCAGUUGCUGACCCUCCUGGGCAAGGCAGCCGCCUGGUGGCACCAAAGCUUUCCCACAGUUGUCUUUAGAGAGGUGAUUUGGCCUGAAAGUUUCUGUCCUGCUGGCCAUUUCUUGGACUGUGCCACACACAUUGCUCCUGUCCAAAAUGCUAUGGGUUUAGUUCUAGCGACUGGGCAGAGCUGACCUAAGGGAGCCUGGCUGGCUUCUUUCAGAUGCUCAACUUAAAAGAUCAAAGUUUCAAAAGGGGUGGGGCAACUCUCAACCAGACCAGGCCAGUUGGGGGCUGUGCCUCGUCUAUGGAGGCAGCUGCAUUUUCCUACCCCAUCCAAGGCAACUGCAGGCGGGACCCUCAUCACAAAUGCAGAGUUUAGGGAGCAUGUCACAGGGGCACGGGAAAGGGGCCUUUUCAGCUUCAUCCAAUGUUCUGGUGACUUCCAUGUGAAAUGAACAUAUUGCUCCUGAUAUUGGGCACAUCACUGGACAAUGGUCAUCAUACCUCUAAAAUAGAAACCGAGUAUUAAAAAGACCCAAGAAUGCCAAUGUUAUCAUUCACCUUUGCCUCCAUUAUGCAUUUAGAGAAAUUAUGUCAUUUAAAGCCAUUUUGCAUCUAGACCUCUAUGCCUGAGAUUAGUAAAAAGCCAUCAGUAGAAGUUGGAAGAAUGUAAUUAUAUAAAAUCUUUAAAUUCAGGCUCUUGACCCCUCAUGGAUCCAUUUGUUAUAAUAAUUAAGCGUGACAGAUGUCUCCUUUGAGAAUCCAUUUUUAGUCACGUCAAUUUCUCAUGCUAUUUUCUCAAGCCUCUGCAGCAUCCGAUCACCCGUAUUUCCAGAGAAGAAAAGAGAAGUGGAAUCCUACAAAUCAUAAGGGGUAUUUAUGUCCAGACCAGGUGACUAUUCAGCUAUUCGGACUUGGGAUCACUGGCCAGAACUGGUCAUUGACAUCGUUCUGAGGGUGCCUCUUACCUGUGGAUUGGAGACUUCGCUCAUCUGUAGAAACCCAAGGAGGGGGAUGAGAAGAUCCCUGCAUUUCUUGUGACUUCCUUGGGGCUGAAGAUAUCAGCCACGGGCUCAAGGGUCUUCCUGAUAAAGCACGCUGCUUUUCAUCAUCAGCUGUUGACUGCGUGUCACAUUUCCAGGCAGGAGGUGGACACCUAGUGGCUUUCUAGGAGUCAUCCCUGCAGAAAGAAGCCUCUCACUGUUCUAAGCCCUGUAGUUCUGGAGUCAUUGGCGUGACCUCAGGAGCCCACUUUUUGGCCUCUUGCACCACAGCAAUUGAGAGCUGCAGACUUAGAUUCUCUAUUGUUGACUGUGACUGAGAUCUUGAAUCCACCUCAGUCUAGCAGAAGGACUGGCAAACUAUGACCUUGGGCCAACUCUGGCCUUCCACCUGUUCUUGAAAAUAAAGUUUUAUUGGAAUUCAGCCACUCCCAUUCAUUCACAUAUUGCCCAUGCUGCUCUCAUGCUGUAACAGCAGAGCUGAGUAGUUGCAACAGAAACCAUAUGGCUGGCAAAGCCUAAAAUAUUUAUUAUCUAGCCUUUUUCAGAAAAAGUUUGCUCAAUCCUGGUCUAGAAUUAUAAGAGACCAUAUUUUUAUUUACUUAAUUUAGAGCAGAAGAUUAUAAUUCAGAGUCCUGGAAUAUCCAGGAUAUUUGGGGCAGGAUCUAAGGCUUUCAUUACAGGGAUGGGAAAGACUUGAGGCUUCAGCUCAAGUCUGAUGAUUGGUAACGGCUGCCUAGCGGGCUGUUGAAAAGGAUUCUGAGGCUGUGUCUGGGCUGGUGUGGGCUCUUCUAGCGAGGGGAAAACAGAGCCAUGAGAAAUUCAGGCAAGGAGCACCAGACUGGGAAAUGAGCAAGACAAAUCCACUCUCUUUCCCAAACAUAAAUAACAUCCAGGGACAGCUCGGCACUGCCCCCGAUGCCAGCACUUGGCAUUGCUGA